rnacentral:lncRNA from 1 species
AGGCCCUGUGUGAGAAGCCCCCUUCCCAGUGAACUUUCCCUUGUGUGCCCGCGUGGACAGCCAACAGGGGGAGCAGUGCGAGCGUGAAGGCAGACAGUGGCCUGGCCCAGUCUGAUGGGAGAGACCCACCGACCCUGUGGGGCUGGUCCCUACA